rnacentral:rRNA from 1 species
AACGAACGCUGGCGGCAUGCCUAACACAUGCAAGUUGAACGAGACCUUCGGGUCUAGUGGCGCACGGGUGCGUAACGCGUGGGAACCUGCCCUUAGGUUCGGAAUAACUCCCCGAAAGGGGUGCUAAUACCGGAUAAUGUCUUCGGACCAAAGAUUUAUCGCCUUUGGAUGGGCCCGCGUUGGAUUAGCUAGUUGGUAGGGUAAAAGCCUACCAAGGCGACGAUCCAUAGCUGGUCUGAGAGGAUGAUCAGCCACACUGGGACUGAGACACGGCCCAGACUCCUACGGGAGGCAGCAGUGGGGAAUAUUGGACAAUGGGCGAAAGCCUGAUCCAGCAAUGCCGCGUGAGUGAUGAAGGCCUUAGGGUUGUAAAGCUCUUUUACCCGGGAUGAUAAUGACAGUACCGGGAGAAGAAGCGCCGGCGAACUCCGU